GGGCUGCCACCAAGAAGGUGGAAGAACACCUUUAAUUCCAGCACUCAGGACACAGAAGCAGGUGGGUGGAUGUCAGUUCCAGGCCCUCCUGGUCUACUUAGUGAGUUCUGGGAUGGCCAGAACUACAUCAUGAGACCUGUCUCAGAAAAAAAGAAAGAAAAAGAAAAUGCUCACAGGUACACCCAGCUGCUUGGCUUUGAAUUGAUUUCAGAUACAGUCAAGUUGACAUCAAGACUAUCCACCAACCAAUCUUUAAUUUAUUCAUUCAAUGGAUAUUUUUAAGUCUAUGUCUGGCAUUAAGUUAAGUGCUAGAGAACCCGGGGAAAAACCAAAAACCAAAAAACAACAACAAUAACAAAACAGGACAGCCAUGUUUUCUGCCUUCAUGAACUUUCUGGAAGGAGAGAAACAGCAUUUAACAGCGUGGAAAGCUGCUUUGUGAAGACAGUGGCUCGUCUGGGUUCAGGAAAGUAUAGCUCCAGUUUAGUGUUCUUAUGGAUCAUCGACUGUACCCAAGACCAGAAACGGAAACAACUAGAUCAUCUUCAACUGAAGAACGGAGACAGAAACGUGAUACAG
rnacentral:lncRNA from 1 species